GCUUCUCUGACCCUGUGCAUCCUUCCUAGCUGGGCAAAUCAGAAUCCAUGGUGCUUCAGGACGUUUUCAAGACUGGUAUCUGUUUGGCCUGAGUAGAAGUGCAGCUGUUAAUGAAUAUACCCUGGAGCUAUGCUCAAAGAACACUGGAAGAAAGCUGGUGGCCCUCCAGAACCUGAUGGACAGUUCCUGGGAGACAUUCUUUGCACUUCUCAGGUAGCCCAGUGAAUUGAGCGUCUAGUGUCUAUAAACAGAAAUCAUGAUCAUGCAUCUCUUACGGGUGCUGUUUACUGCUCUCAUUUGCCCUAUUCCUUCACUGUUAGCU
rnacentral:lncRNA from 1 species